rnacentral:ncRNA from 1 species
CUGCGGACUUAAGUAAAUUGAGCCUUAGCAGAGAAAUCAGCUAAGUGACCGCUCUCAAACUCAGGGAAACCUAAGUUCGCACCGCGAAUAAGGCAAUCCUGAGCCAAGCCCAGGCAAGGAAAGAUAACCUUACCGGGGAAGGUGCAGAGACUCGACGGGAGCUGCCCUAACAGACUGCGCUGAGGGUAAAGGGAGAGUCCAAUUCUCAACG